GCAUAAAAAUGGGGAUGUUACAACUUCUCUCUUUUUUCUAUCUCUCUCUUCCUCUUCUGCUAUUUAUCUCGCCAACCAAACCUCCCACUCUUUCUUUCUCUUCUCUCUCUCAUUCUCUCCUAGAGCACCGACCCUCUUUUCUCUAACAGAUUAACCCACAAGUAAUAUAAGGUCAAUAGCCGUCAACUCCCGGCACCAAAAUUUUCCAUGCAUAACUGGUCAUAUGCCUAGACGCUCCGACUAUCUGCUUCCCGCAUUAGCCAUGGAAAAUUCCUCACGCGGAAACGUUCCAUACCAUAGAGAGAGAGUGGACUUCUAGGAUUCAAAUGAUGCAACAAGAAUUACAGGCCCUGGUAAACUUUCCAAGUCAGAUAUGAAGAGCCUUAUCCUCCACGUGCCUUUUUCUUACUGGUGGGUGAAGUAAGAAGAACCGUGUGAGCUGAUGGGAGGGAUUAUGUGUUGUGUGUGCGUCUAAUGUCCCUUUUGGUAAUUAUAGCAAGAAUUACAGGCCCUAGUAUACUAUACGCGUGAUAAAUGAUUUGAGCAAAUUAAAAAAAAAAAAAAGGUCCUCAAGCGGAAAUGGCCCACACCACAGCGACUUCUGAGGCUUACUUUCCAACGUAAUAUUAUUUUAGUAUUUUUAUAUUUAUUUUACAUAUUUUUAAAAAAAUAUUAAAUAAAAUAUUAAAAUAUUCUUUCUCUUCCACAAAUAUUAUUCUUACAUAUCUUCUAAAAACAUCAAAACCAACAAAAUUA